AUUGAACGCUGGCGGCAGGCCUAACACAUGCAGGUCGAGCGAGCGGCGGACGGGUGAGUAAUGUCUGGGAAACUGCUUGAUGGAGGGGGAUAACUACUGGAAACGGUAGCUAAUACCGCAUACCAUCAGAUGUGCCCCGAUGGGGUUAGCUAGUGGGUGGGGUAAUGGCUCACCUAGGCGACGAUCCCUAGCUGGUCUGAGAGGAUGACCAGCAACACUGGAACUGAGACACGGUCCAGACUCCUACGGGAGGAAGCAGUGGGGAAUAUUGCACAAGGGGCGCAAGCCUGAUGAAGCCAGGCCGCGUGUGGGAAGAAGGCCUUCGGGUUGUAAAGCACUUUCAGCGGGGAGGCGUUACCCGCAGAAGAAGCACCGGCUAACUCCGUGCCAGCCGCCGCGGUAAUUC
rnacentral:rRNA from 1 species